UACGUAGGGUGCAGGCGUUAAUCGGAAUUACUGGGCGUAAAGCGUGCGCAGGCGGUUUGCUAAGACAGGUGUGAAAUCCCCGGGCUUAACCUGGGAACUGCGCUUGUAACUGGCAAGCUAGAGUGUGGCAGAGGGGGGUGGAAUUCCAGGUGUAGCAGUGAAAUGCGUAGAGAUCUGGAGGAACACCGAUGGCGAAGGCAGCUCGCUGGAACGGUACUGACGCUGAGGCACGAAGGCCAGGGGAGCAAACGGG
rnacentral:rRNA from 1 species